UGUGGAUCUUGUGUUUGUCUCUAGUUUCUCCAGUGUUUAUCGUGCUUCUCAUGCCCUUGUGGAUUUAUACCUUUUGUUGGACCUUUGGAUUUUCAGUGCGCAGUGCUUUUGGACUGAUCACACCUAACCACCUUGAAGGCCUGAAAGACACCGCUACCAGACCAUUUUCUCUUUCUUUAAGGGCAAAGAAGAACAACUUGGCUUGAUGAUGUUUCCCAAGAGAUCUUUCAGAGGAUACAAGAGAAGCAAUUCACAACUACACUGCACAUCUACUCCCCCAAGCCCUAUGACUACGUUGAGAGUUUGUUUGGCUCAUCCGCACACCAUGCUCAUAAUGUUAUGGUAGCAUUUUGCACAUCCUGAAUUUAGUGUAGCUUCAUUCACAGCUUUAAAAAGGCUUGUUGCUGAGAAGCAGGAAAAGAAACAGUUUGCUCAUCGAUGAUGGAUGUACAUUCAUAAGCAAAGUGAGUUUGACCAGGACAAGAUUUAUGGCUUUGUUGACACUGAUGCUGGUGAGACAAGCACUGGUCCUCAUGGUUGUUGCAAUCAAUGAGUCUUGAAAGAUUCCCAUUGCUUACUUUCCUAUCCACCUGAUGACAGGAGCAGAGAGAGCAAACAUAAUCCGAGAGAGCCUUUUUAGGCUUCAUGCAACCGGAGACAGGGUUGUCUUCUUGACGUAUGAUGGACCCUCCCAAAACUU